UACGUAGGGUGCGAGCGUUAAUCGGAAUUACUGGGCGUAAAGCGUGCGCAGGCGGCCGCGCAAGUCGAGUGUGAAAUCCCCGGGCUUAACUUGGGAAUUGCGCUCGAAACUACGUGGCUGGAGUGUGGCAGAGGAAGGUGGAAUUCCACGUGUAGCGGUGAAAUGCGUAGAGAUGUGGAGGAACACCGAUGGCGAAGGCAGCCUUCUGGGCCAACACUGACGCUCAUGCACGAAAGCGUGGGGAGCAAACAGG
rnacentral:rRNA from 1 species